AUUUCAAACGUGCAAUUAUUGUUCUAAUACAAUAUGUAGUUUUGAAACUAUUAAAUAGUUUUUGUAUUGUUAGGAGCGGGCUUUAUUUCUAAACUGUGAGAGUUAUCAAGCAAAUCAGCCUAUCACAAUAACCUGGAAUCUAUGCUGUAUGCAAUAAGACAAGAAUGGAUGUUCUAGGCCCAUUUGAACAAAAGUUAUGGUAUGUUGAACAUUCCCAGCUUGAUCCCUGUUUGACCGAGCUCGACAUCGCUGACUUGCCAAGUGUUCAGCGUACUAUAACUUUUGUUCAAUUGGGCCUAGAACAUCCAUUCUUGUUUUAUUGCAAACAGUAUUCAUUCCAGCUUAUUGUGAUAUGCUGAUUUGCUUUAUAAUUCUUACAAUUUAUAAAUAAAUCUUGCUCCCAACAAUAUACAUGAAAUAUUUGAUAUUUUGAAAACAGCAUAGUGUACUAAAAAAAUAAUUGCAUAUUUGAAAUCAGGACAUAAAAAUACAUAAGCUGCGAAAGUUUCAUAAAAAUGUACUCAAAAACAAAGAAAUAUGUCUCCGAAGCAGGGUCCCCCCUUAACGACAACAACCAAAACGCAAGUUCAAGGUAUUAAGCUAAGCCCUAGAGUUCAGACGUGGCUGAGUGGUGAAAUAUACGAGUUCAGUCUCACCAGGACCUCAAAGGGUUGGCCGAAGCAUGCGUAACCAAAACCCGGAGUCGUUGGCUUGUGGAGGCUACGAUGAGGGAAGGUUGGCUGCUGGUCGACACGAUGAGAAGCCAGGAGAAACAUGGCCAGGCAACUCGACGCACAGCUUCGGCCCGUAGCCCAACUGCUGCUGCUACAUUGCCUGCGAGCACUGGAGUUCGCAGGCCUUGGGGUGAAGUUCGCGCACCAGAGCUAUGGUCCCCUCGUGCGGGAACGCGACGGCGGGAGGCUCCGAUCAGUUGAAGUCCUGGUGGCUCAGGUCCGCAGCCUUUAAAACCAGCUCCGGUGACAACCUUCUGCUUAUCUCAAUCGUUUGGAACUCCCUCGCUCUUCUUUCCAACAGGCUUUUUCUUGCUCUCGGGUCAACCUGUCAUCGCCUGAUUGGAGCCUGUCGUACUAUCGUGCUCAUGAGUGAUUGGCUCGUGGGAUCUCUGUUUGUUGGUGAUUGGAUAUCUUUUUUUUUUACAUUUUUAACAUUGCACCGCGUGUCCUCGUGCUUGACGCUCUUCAACGUCGUCUGUCUUUAUGUAGCACCGCCCGCCCACUCUGUCUUCUUUCUUUUCAUUCUGCGCACUUUCCGACGCACACUUCAAACGCGCACUAUUAGAACAUGCACAACACAUCACAGUCCUUACUCUACAGAAAACGUACUUUCUGAUAAAACUGUCUUUCGACCACUGUAGUUUUUGAAUUGUACGAAAAAAACCCACAAAUUUGAGAAAAUCUGUAUUUCAAAGCAUAUUGAGAUGCAAUUUACACCACAUGGUGCCCCGAUUAAAAAUCUGCUUUGACUUCAAUUGAAGGCACAUGACUAGUUCUUAUGGCAAUUCCUAUCCACGAUAAACGGCAGCGCACGCCGGGUUAAGACACAUACACGAAACACUAAAAAGGACGACACUAGCGCUAGUGUCGUCCUUUUUCGUGUUUCGUGUAUGUGUAUGUCACGUAUGUGUAACCCGGUGUGCGCUGCCGUUUAUCGUGAAUAUGGCCAACCAACUAGCCCACAAGUACAUUUUAAGCAAUUCCUAUCAUUGGGUCUUUUGUUUUAAGCAAGAAAAUAAUUUUUCAAGUUCCUCAUUGACCUCAAUCCUUUCAUUUGUCCAUGUGACAGCUUUACCAGAUUGCUCAUCCAUGUUGUGAUGGCAUGGAGCACCUCACAUCUUUUUCAUCACAAUGCGACAGGCUGACAAGAAUACUGCGACCACACAGAGAAAACAGUAGGAUUCAGAGCUACAGUGAUGUGAAGCUCUUAUUCGUCAUUGAAUUCUGUUUGUCAAGUGGUCAUACAAAACUUAAGUGAUGGCUUGCUGGAUGAAGACAUCUGUUGGUGAUUUCUAGGGUGAAUUGUCCAUCUUUCAGCUUAUUUAUGCAACAGGAGAGUACCUACCACCUGUGUGAGUGACGGCUUCCAUCAGACACACUGCGUAGAGGCAGAGUGAUGCACAAGCGCCAAUGCGCUGUUAUACGUACGUGCAAAUAGGAAGAUUGCCGUCAACUUCAAAAAUUAUUUUAAUGCUGUAAAAUAAAAUUUAACAAUAAAAUAAUAACUAGUUAUUUGCAUUUUACUGAGGUCUAAAUCAGAUUUUUUAAUUAGGGCACUACACUGCAUAAGCUGACUGCAUCUCAGUGUGGUCCAUAAUGCUUUGGUCGAAAUUUGUUUUUUUUUUCCCUGAAACUUACAAACUUCAGUGGUCAAAAAAUAUUAUUAUGAGAAAAAAUAUUUUCCGUAGAGUAAGUAUUGAUUACUCAGACAUUCAGGCAUAGCACAAUACAAUGCUACGUGGGCAAAAAUGGAUACAGUGCAUUCUGGCUGAAAUUCUGGAGGCAUAUAUGGCAACAAAAUUGCAGUAAUCUUGCUGAACUUCUGUCAUGUUAAACAGGUAUGUUUGCUCAGUAUGUAAACAAAAUUUGAUUUUGGCACAGAAACAAUGUUCUCAAAAUUGAUUUUCUGAUGAACAUCUGUUUGACGUUUUGGAAAAUUGGAGAGGCUCCGGCAAGUUCAAAAAUUUUGUCCACCCAAAAUAUUCUGGCAAUUCACUUUUUCCAAUGCAGCAAACAAGCACAGUUUUGUUCCAAUACAUUUAAUUAAGAUGGUUGCCAAAUUGGCUGGGACAUUUGGCAUGUAAUGAGCUCCUAUGGAGGUGGCAUAUGUGAGCUUCCACAUUUUUUUUUUCUAUAUGUGACCUAAAUACUACUUCUUGUAACUCUUUUACUGUCUUACUGACUCAACAUCCAACCAAGUUGAAAUCUGCAAAUGUUUGACAUGUCCAGCUGGCUGGUCAGAGAAAGCUAUGUGCUCUGUCAUGUCUUUUCUUGGUCCACUCAUUUUUAGUAGAUAUGAGGCUCAAUCUUCAAAAAUGUGAGUGGUGUUUGUAUAUCUUUAGAUAAAAAAAGGCCAGUGGCAUUGUUUUCCACCUAUAACAAACAAUCGCUUUGUGUGUCUGUCUUUUCUCAAAGCUUCUCCUUUAGUUUAUUGAAAUGCAACAGUGCCUUAACAUCGCCAAUUUCACUUGCACUUCAAUUUGUAUUGUGUGGAAAGCAAUCUUCUUCGCAGCUUUUGUUGGCAUGAGGUAGGCUUAGUGUGUAUACCCUCCUUCCCACUUUUAUUCUUUUGGGACAACUGAACACUGCACACAUAUGGAGCGACCAAAUGGAUUAAAUAUGCUGAUAGUUUGUGCUCUUUCUGUCCACAUUGCUUUUUCCUCUGUUUGCUCAGCUGUAUGCACGACUCCCAUCAUGUUCACUUUUGCAAUUCUUCAAAUGAAAAGAAUAAUUAGGCCGCGAUGGGGAUCAUGUCGUGGCCUGCCUUCUAUUCUGCUUGGUGGCAGCACCUCCAGAGUGUCGUUAUGAAAGGCAUGUUCUGUAUUUGUAGUUUUUAUGUUUUACAGUGGUUGUUUUCUUUGUAUCAUAUGGCCACUGAGAAUGCCGUGUUCAACAGACAGGCCCUUUUUGAUAGUGUCACAUUAAUGUUGUUCUCGUGGUUUCUGCCACUGUGUCUUCAGCUUUGAGAUAGUGGGAAAUAUGGAAUAAAAAUGAGGUACUCUAGAUAAUUGUCCUACAAAACGAGUUUAUUAAACAUAAGUUUCCCCGGUGCUUCAGUGUCUGUUGGCUAAUUACAUGACUAUAUUGAGUCUUUUAGUUCACAAGUAUUCUCACACAAUUAUUUUUGAUGAUUAGCAUUGUAAUUUUAUAAAAGAUGGCAACACUGUGGUAUUUUGUUUGUUUUUUCAGCUCACUUAGAGAUCCAGGAUCACACAGUGCAUUUUUAGUUUCUGCGCCACUCAAUUUGUUCGUCUUGACUUUGCAAUGCCACGAGAUAUGCACGCAACCUUCAGGCUCCUGUGCACUUCGGCAGCACGACUGUAGUCAAGGGGGGUACUGUACAAAAUGAAGUAAAAUGUACAGAUGUUUCGCUUGUUAACCAAAUCUGAAAGCUGGUAUGCAGCCUCAGUUGUUUCCUUAUUCUGCAUUUUGUCACAAUAUUUUGAGACUGUCCCACUAGUGCUUGUAGUUCACAGAUUAGCACUAAGAUUGCCCUUGCAUUUGAGUUUUGCCCACCUCUCAGUCUCUUGUCGAUAACUUCAGAAUUUGCUGCUUAAUCCUGGAAAUGCGUGCAAUCAUUUGGGUUACUUUAUGCAGUGCUGUGGCAUAUUUGCUACGAGUGUUUUUUUUCAAUGUGUUAAGGACUGUUGUAGAUGUGCACAUAUCCUGUGAUUAUUUUGUUUUGAGGGCUGAAUAAAAUCAGAUUUUAUUACUGUA